GAUGAACGCUGGCGGCGUGCCUAAUACAUGCAAGUCGAGCGAACGGACGCGAAGCUUGCUUCUCUGAUGUUAGCGGCGGACGGGUGAGUAACACGUGGAUAACCUACCUAUAAGACUGGGAUAACUUCGGGAAACCGUAGCUAAUACCGGAUAAUAUUUUGAACCGCAUGGUUCAAAAGUGAAAGACGGUCUUGCUGUCACUUAUAGAUGGAUCUGCGCUGCAUUAGCUAGUUGGUAAGGUAACGGCUUACCAAGGCAACGAUGCAUAGCCGACCUGAGAGGGUGAUCGGCCACACUGGAACGGAGACACGGUCCAGACUCCUACGGGAGGCAGCAGUAGGGAAUCGGCCGCAAUGGGCGAAAGCCUGACGGAGCAACGCCGCGUGAGAGAUGAAGGUCUUCGGAGCGUAAAACUCUGUUAUUAGGGAAGAACAUAUGUGUAAGUAACUGUGCACAUCUUGACGGUACCUAAUCAGAAAGCCACGGCUAACUACGUG
rnacentral:rRNA from 1 species